UUUAUGAAAUCCCAAAAAACCCAAAUAUUGCACAUCAUUCUUUUUAAUUAGAACUCUACACACACCCAAUUAAAAUCAGAUAGAACAAAUUUCAAGUCUUGUUACAGCCAGGGAGACAUUCAGCGACCUUUUGUUUUUCACUAGUGAAUAACAUAGUUGAAUCCCUCGCUUGGGCCAGAAAUGUUUCUCAUACACAUUACAUAACAACCUUGCAACAUAGCUGUUGAGAUUAUGGGCAUAUUUGAUCCUGGGUCGCUCUCGUAUGAAUACACCUAUUAAUAUCAAGCCAGAAUGUUGCGAGUGGACUGAGUCCUGGUGGGACUGGAGUUCCACUAAAAUGCAGCAACAAUAAACUUGCUCCCGUGAAUGGGAAAAGCCAUACAAUCUAAUGCCUAGGUUAUCUGGUAAGAGGGUUUGCUAUUCUCAAAUGUGUGUUGGCCCAAACUUGAAAAUGUAUCGGGCAUCCAAACUUGUGCUUUAGGAAUUGUGGGUAUGGAAGUUCUUUUCAAGUGUUUUGAGUACAGUAUUAUGCCUAGUGGGUUCUUGAAUUAUAGACCCUGUUAUUAUGAUUUUUAACCCUUGAUGACUAUAUCGGUGUUCUUUUUUGUUUCAUUCUGUAUGUAAGUUGACAAUAGUCAUGUGCUCCAUCAUUCUAUUUUAUCCUGAACGUGCAUAUUGGGUUUGAAAUUUGAAUUGAAUUCUUUAAAUGGGCAUCUGGUAGCAUUUUUCAUUUGGACCAGCUGCUGCUGAAUUAAAGAUAUUCACGGAAUGCUAACUGAUAUUUAUUGAAUCCUUAAAUUACCAUGUCUUAUUACCUUAAAGUUAGAAACAUAUAAGCUUCUCAUGUUAUUUACUAUGUAUGAAAAGAAUAUCAUUCAAACAAGUACCGCAACUGCAUGCUAAUUUAUGUUUUAUGUUUAUCCAAGAGGUCUUCUUUAUAGAGAAGGAGAUGGAUGGAGCUAAUCUAUCGCAAAUAAACUGAGUUUUUUUUCAUGCAUUGUGCUGAAAUGAUGCACUGAUUUCUCUCUCAGAUGAUGCACACUCUAUAUUUGAAGAUUCUGUGGAUUCAGAAGAAGAAUCUGCAAUACAUAUGGAUACUUGUUGCUGACAUUCAAUAUCAAGUGUAUCUCUGUAGAUUUAAAAUUAAUUUAAUUUUAUCAUCUUUGAUGACAGAAAAUUUCUUCAAUUUUAAUUGAAGAGGUUCAAUAUGUCUCGUAGUCAU